UGGGGAAUAUUGCACAAUGGAGGGAACUCUGAUGCAGCGACGCCGCGUGAGUGAUGAAGGACUUCGUUUCGUAAAACUCUGUUCUAUGGGAAGAAAAGGACUGUACCAUAGGAGAAAGCUCCGGCUAAAUACGUGCCAGCAGCCGCGGUAAUACGUAUGGAGCGAGCGUUGUCCGGAAUUAUUGGGCGUAAAGGGUGCGCAGGCGGCUUUACAAGUUGGAUGUGAAAUAUUGUGGCUCAACCACAAACGUGCAUCCAAAACUGCAAAGCUUGAGUUAAGGAGAGGUAAGUGGAAUUCCCGGUGUAGCGGUGGAAUGCGUAGAUAUCAGGAGGAAUACCGGUGGCGAAGGCGACUUACUGGACUUAAACUGACGCUCAGGCACGAAAGCGUGGGGAGCAAACAGG
rnacentral:rRNA from 1 species